rnacentral:rRNA from 1 species
UACGAAGGGGGCUAGCGUUGUUCGGAAUUACUGGGCGUAAAGCGCACGUAGGCGGAUACUUAAGUCAGGGGUGAAAUCCCGGGGCUCAACCCCGGAACUGCCUUUGAUACUGGGUAUCUCGAGUCCGGAAGAGGUGAGUGGAAUUCCGAGUGUAGAGGUGAAAUUCGUAGAUAUUCGGAGGAACACCAGUGGCGAAGGCGGCUCACUGGUCCGGUACUGACGCUGAGGUGCGAAGGCGUGGGGAGCAAACAGG